GCCUCGGUGGUGUAGUGGUCAAGACGCUCGCCUGAUAAACAGGACGGCGUGUGUUCAAUUCCACCCGAAGUG
rfam:Asian citrus Psyllid, Diaphorina citri - Florida Strain, whole genome shotgun sequence.